UAAAAUUCUACUAAAGCGGCCGAUGGA
rnacentral:piRNA from 1 species